rnacentral:lncRNA from 1 species
GAUAGAUCCUAAGUGAAAUUAGAUAUAAAAGAGAAAUGAAUUGAAUUUACUGGACAACAUUCUUCAGAUCUGCUGGGACAUAUUUUCAUUUUCUGUGAGUACUGCAAUGGAUUGGGACAAGUGAGCAUCUCAACAUCUUUUGUGAAAAAGGAGAACGUGGAUGUCACUGGCUUUCACUUCACGUUUUAGGUCAGCGCUGCUUUUGGGGUGAAAGAAGACCAUCAGCAAACCUCAGCCUUGCGGCCGGGACUCCCCCGUCUUCUGUCGGAGUCCGCCGGUCCGCAGCCUGCGGCAGGGAGGCCCGGGCACCCGCAGGUGGCGCCCCACGUCCGUGUUUGCGCCCUCAGCCGCGCUCCAGGCGCAGCUGGGAAACCCAGCGCGUCUCCCCGGGUCCUUUGAGCGAGCGCGGACACCGCAAUUUAAUAAAUAAGCGCAAGCGCCAGCCGCUCCACCAGUCCGAGGUCCAGAGGAGCAGACACACAGACCCGGGCCGGAGGCCCCUCUUCUAGCCCUGCGGGAACCGGACAGUUCCCCAACUGGGGACUCUGGAACCACAGCUCCUAAAUCAUCAAAUUCUCAAGCUUUUUUUUUUCCUCUCUUC